CUCAAGUGUAAGAAGGGCAUAAUGAUCACUGGUUCAAAAAAAAAAAAUCAAGAUAAAGAUUCAGGUACUAUGGAAGAUGUGAAAGACAAAAUGCAUCCAUGUUUCCAAACUUUUUCACAGGUCUCCAAAUGGUCAUUAUAUUGAUCAUUGUCAAAAAUUUGGCUACCAAAGUGGUUACUCACCUCCAGGAUGGCUUUCCAGAUGGUGCGGAGGUGACCUGUGGAGUAACACAGAAAUGAG